GCUACAGUGUCAAAAUCCAAAAAGUUUUUGUAUCUAAACAAGGCCUCAGUAGAACUAUACCCACCUUGUUUGGUUACGCCCGUUACAUUAGAUGUUUAGAUACAUGCAUGAAGUAUUAAAUAUAUAGUAUUUAGAAAACUAAAAAUAUAGCUGAAGAGUAAUUUAAGAGAUGAAUUUUUUAAGCUUAACUAGCCCAUGAUUGUAAUAAUUGCCAAAUAAGAUGAAACUGCUACAGUACGCGUUAAACUUUAACACCCCAAACCAAACAUCCCCUUACAUUUAGGCCUUAUUUAGUUCACACAAAAACAAAAAAAAACUUUUCAAGAUUCCCGUUACAUCGAAUCUUACGGCAUACAACAAACAUUAAAUAUAGAUGAAAACAAAAACUAAUAGUUUGAUUGUAAAUCACGAGACAAAUCUUUUAAGCCUAGUUACUCCAUAAUUAAACAAUGUUUGUCAAAUAAAACGAAAAUACUAUAAUAUCAAAAUCCAAAAACUUUUUAAAUCUAAACUAGGCCUUGUUUAGUCAGCAAAAUUUUUUAAGAUUCCACAUCACAUCGAAUCUUUGGUCGCAUGCAUGGAGCAUUAAAUAUAGACGAAAAUAAAAACUAAUUGCACAGUUUACCUAUAAUUUGUGGGAUGGAUCUUUUGAGUCUAGUUACUCCGUGAUUAGAUAAUAUUUAUCAAAUAAAAACAAAAAUACUACAGUAGCCAAAAAUCAAAAUUUUUGCAAACUAAACAAGGCCUUACAUCAAAUUGGCAUACGGUACAUUCUCGCAUUAUAUUCGAUCUAUCUAUAGAAAGCCACCUACCAUCGUAACACCAACAGGAUCUGCGUUAUUUCUCAUGCCCAUAUUGAAUUUUUUAAAUUACAUAAUACAAUACAUACAUUUAAUAUGCACAUUCACCUAUAUAAACACACACAAAUUCUAUCUCUAUGAGUCUCUACGAAGGAUUAAGCCGACAGAUCUCAAGACGUUCAACACAUAUGCACACUCACCUAUAUGAAUACACACGUAAACCUCUAUGACCACCGCACCUUUAAAGAACUGAGCCGACAGAUUUCGAGACAUCCAACACGAAACACGCAUGCACACUCACCUAUAUGAACAUACACAUAAACCAUACCUCUAUAAGCACCUUCAAAGGUUGAGCCGGCAGAUCUCGAGAUUCACGUAGUCAUCACAGGCGCCUCAUUAUUGAUGCAAACCUUACCCCUAUGAGCACCUUUGAAGGACUGAGCCAGCAAAUCUCGAGAUUCACAAAAUCACCGUAGGUGUCUCACAGUCAAGAGGUAUAUGAACACACACGUAAACCCUACCCCUAUGAGCACCUUCGAAGGACUAAGACGGUAAAUCUCAAAAUUCACGAAGUCACCAUAGACGCCUCACAAUUGAGUGAGAUAUUUACCUACCACUGAAAGCAUAAUAUCAUUAAAUCCUAGAAUAAAUUCAAAAAAAUACAAACACUCAUGUCAAGUCGAGAACUUAAAUCCGGAUAGAUAGAUUCUAUCGAAGAAACCUAACCUGCCGAUCUACGAUAAUUUUGCUUCUCACGUUGGAAUUGCAUAUGCACGAGAGUAAUGCCACGGUUUAUUCCCUUC
rnacentral:lncRNA from 1 species